CUAAAAGAUAACGGAGGCGCUCAAAGGUUUGCUCAGAAUGGUUGGAAAUCAUUCGUAGCGUGUAAAGGCAUAAGCAAGCUUGACUGUGAGACUGACAAGUCGAGCAGGUACGAAAGUAGGACUUAGUGAUCCGGUGGUUCCGUAUGGAAGGGCCAUCGCUCAACGGACAAAAGCUACCCCGGGGAUAACAGGCUCAUCUCCCCCAAGAGUCCACAUCGACGGGGAGGUUUGGCACCUCGAUGUCGGCUCAUCGCAUCCUGGGGCUGUAGUCGGUCCCAAGGGUUGGGCUGUUCGCCCAUUAAAGCGGUACGCGAGCUGGGUUCAGAACGUCGUGAGACAGUUCGGUCCCUAUCCGUCGUGGGCGCAGGAAAUUUGAGAGGAUCUGUCCUUAGUACGAGAGGACCGGGAUGGACAUACCUCUGGUGUACCAGUUGUUCUGCCAAGAGCACCGCUGGGUAGCUACGUAUGGAUUAGAUAAUCGCUGAAAGCAUCUAAGUGAGAAACUAACCUCGAGAUGAGAUUUCCCAUUCGUCAGAAGUAAGACCCCUGAGAGACGAUCAGGUAGAUAGGCUAGAAGUGGAAGUGUAGUGAUGCAUGGAGCGGACUAGUACUAAUAGGUCGAGGACUUAACCAAG
rnacentral:rRNA from 1 species